rnacentral:rRNA from 1 species
GACCUCGGAUCAGGUAGGAAUACCCGCUGAACUUAAGCAUAUCAAUAAGCGGAGGAAAAGAAACCAACAGGGAUUACCCUAGUAACGGCGAGUGAAGCGGUAACAGCUCAAAUUUGAAAUCUGGCCUUUACAGGUCCGAGUUGUAAUUUGUAGAGGAUGUUUCGGGCAAGGCUGCGGUUUAAGUUUCUUGGAACAAAACGUCAUAGAGGGUGAGAAUCCCGUCUAGAACCGAUGGCCGCGUCCAUGUGAAACUCCUUCGACGAGUCGAGUUGUUUGGGAAUGCAGCUCAAAAUGGGUGGUAAAUUUCAUCUAAAGCUAAAUAUUGGCCAGAGACCGAUAGCGCACAAGUAGAGUGAUCGAAAGAUGAAAAGCACUUUGAAAAGAGAGUUAAACAGUAUGUGAAAUUGUUGAAAGGGAAGCGCUUGCAACCAG